CUACGGGGCGCAGCAGUGAGGAAUAUUGCACAAUGGGGGGAACCCUGAUGCAGCAACGCCGCGUGGAGGAUGACGCAUUUCGGUGUGUAAACUCCUUUUAUAUGUCAAGAAAAUGACGGUAGCAUAUGAAUAAGCACCGGCUAACUCCGUGCCAGCAGCCGCGGUAAUACGGAGGGUGCAAGCGUUACUCGGAAUCACUGGCGUAAAGGACGCGUAGGCGGGUUAGAAAGUCAGGUGUGAAAUCCUACAGCUUAACUGUAGAACUGCACUUGAAACUUCUAAUCUAGAGUAUGGGAGGGGGAGAUGGAAUUAGUGGUGUAGGGGUAAAAUCCGUAGAUAUCACUAGGAAUACCUAAAGCGAAGGCGAUCUCCUGGAACAUUACUGACGCUAAGGCGUGAAAGCGUGGGGAGCAAACAGGAUUAGAUACCCUUGUAGUC
rnacentral:rRNA from 1 species